AGUGAACGCUGGCGGUAGGCCUAACACAUGCAAGCCGAACGGCAGCACAGUAAGAGCUUGCUCUUACGGGUGGCGAGUGGCGGACGGGUGAGGAAUACAUCGGAAUCUACUUUUUCGUUGGGGAUAACGUAGGGAAACUUACGCUAAUACCGCAUACGACCUACGGGUGAAAGCAGGGGAUCUUCGGACCUUGCGCGAUUGAAUAAGCCGAUGUCGGAUUAGCUAGUUGGCGGGGUAAAGGCCCACCAAGGCGACGAUCCGUAUCUGGUCUGAGAGGAUGAUCAGCCAGACUGGAACUGAGACAGGGUCCAGACACCUACGGGAGGCAGCAGUGGGGAAUAUUGGACAAUGGGGGAAAGCCUGAUCCAGCAAUACCGCGUGGGUGAAGAAGGACUUCGGGUUGUAAAGCCCUUUUGUUGGGAAAGAAAAGCAGCAGGUUAAUACCCCGCUGUUCUGACGGUACCCAAAGAAUAAGCACCGGCUAACUUCGUG
rnacentral:rRNA from 1 species